CUUUUCUACAUGAUGAGGAAAAUUUAAAAAACCCACAGCCCCUCCCUCCAGAUACAGGUAGGCGGGGCCUCGCCUUGCAGACAUAGAAAGCCACGCCCACAAACCCAUAUGAAGGGAUGUGAGCUUAUCUGGUGUAGAUAUGCUAGUUUCAGACUUCUGUUCUU